rnacentral:rRNA from 1 species
CACGUAGGGAGCAAGCGUUGUCCGGAUUUAUUGGGCGUAAAGGGCUCGUAGGCGGUUCGUCACGUCGGGAGUGAAAACUCGGAGCUUAACUCCGAGCCUGCUUUCGAUACGGGCAGACUAGAGGUAGGCAGGGGAGAGCGGAACUCCUGGUGUAGCGGUGGAAUGCGCAGAUAUCAGGAAGAACACCGGUGGCGAAGGCGGCUCUCUGGGCCUUACCUGACGCUGAGGAGCGAAAGCGUGGGUAGCGAACAGG